CACGUAGGGGGCGAGCGUUGUCCGGAUUUAUUGGGCGUAAAGAGCUCGUAGGCGGCUCAGUAAGUCAGGUGUGAAAACUCCAGGCUCAACCUGGAGACGCCACCUGAUACUGCUGUGGCUAGAGUCCGGUAGGGGAGCAUGGAAUUCCUGGUGUAGCGGUGAAAUGCGCAGAUAUCAGGAGGAACACCAGUGGCGAAGGCGGUGCUCUGGGCCGGUACUGACGCUGAGACGCGAAAGCGUGGGGAGCAAACAGG
rnacentral:rRNA from 1 species